UACGGAGGAUGCGAGCGUUAUCCGGAUUUAUUGGGUUUAAAGGGUGCGUAGGCGGACUGGAAAGUCAGCGGUAAAAUCGAGAGGCUCAACCUCUUUCCGCCGUUGAAACUGUCGGUCUUGAGUGGGCGAGAAGUAUGCGGAAUGCGUGGUGUAGCGGUGAAAUGCAUAGAUAUCACGCAGAACUCCGAUCGCGAAGGCAAGUGUCCGGGGUGCAACUGACGCUGAGGCUCGAAAGUGCGGGUAUCAAACAGG
rnacentral:rRNA from 1 species